AGUGAGCUGGCAUGGGUCUUGCCUAGGCUCUAUGCACAUAUGUUAUACUUGUGUAGCUCGGUCUUCUUGUGGGAUUACUAACAGUCAGAGCAGAUGCUAUCUCUGACCCUUCUGCCUGAUUUUGAGAACCUUACCUCCCACUUGGUUGCCUCAUCCAGACUUAAUAACAAAGGGCUUUGCCCAGUCUUAUUGAAACUUAAUAUGCCAUGUUUGGUGCGUGAAAGUGAGGGGUGGAAUGUGGUCAGGACAAAAUAUAUGAGAGAAAAAAGAAAAAGACUGGCACUGUUUGAAAGGGACUAGGGGGUGUGACCUUGUUGGAAGAAGUGUGUCACAGGGGGUGGCAUUUAAAGUUUCACAAAUCCAAGCCAGGUCCAGUGUCUCUUUUGUCCCUUUUGUCCCACUCCCUGCAGAUCUUGCUGUAGAACUCUCAGCUCCUUUUCAGCAUCAUGUCUGCCUGCACUCUGCCAUGCUUCUCACCAUGCUGAGAAAGAAUGGGAAACUCUGAACUUUCCUGGUGACCUAGAGGUUGGCUCAUCAACAAAAGGGAUCUUGAAACAAUGGCCAUACAGUUCAGCCAUGAAGUUUGUUCAUGAAGACAGUCUCCAACUUGGGUUACAAUGAUAUAACUGUUCAGGUAACCACAAAAAAAGAAGUAUCACCCUUUUUGGCUAAUUUGUGUCCUUGAAACAUGGGACGUGGUUUAAACUGUGGAAAUACUAAUCCAAGCAUUCUAUGGCUAACCCUUAACUUAUUAAAGUGAUAAGAUUUUAUAAAGGUGUGAAAUGUAUUAAAGAGUAUUUAGAUAUUUAGAUAUUUCCUCUUUGUAGCCUAAUUUGUGUGGGUUUGAUUCUCUUUUGAUGCUGAAUAAAGUUUCAUUCCAGAUGAAAAUAAGAACUCUUUCUGCACCUACUUGGAUGUUUCUUCUCUAUUUCUCUCAUCUUGGUAGAUACUCAUUUAUGCUUGGUUACUAUAAAUGUCUUGCUUUCUUUCUUUCUUUGUUUGUUUUUAAUAGGAAAAAUACCCUGUUUCAAAACAUCUCUGAAAUAGAGAUAAUGACCAUUUUUUUUUACUUUGUAAUAGACAUGUUCUUGAGAAAAUGAAACUCCUAAUGCCCAAUGAAUUUGGGGAGCAGGCCUAGCCUUCAUAUUUGAUGUUGUCUUGUCAAAACGCUGUGAUAUGAUAUUUAGUAAUAGUGCUAAAAAUUGACUUUUUUUUACAAAAACAAAUAAAAUUAAAAUGAAUGAUUAUGCCUUGAAAACACAAAUCUUAGUGACAUUCAUAUUUAAUAAUCAGCCUGUAAACUGGGAAUGAUGGUGCAAACCUGUUGACUUGCCUGUUUGGGAAGUCAAGGCCGAAGGAUCUAGAACUCAAGGAUUACCUGAAGUACAAGGUGAUUCCAAAGCCAUCCAGGUCAAUUUAGGAAAACCAAAAUAAAAGAGGGCCCAAGGAGAUUUGGGAAUUAGAGCCUAGUGUAGAAUUGGCUAUUGAUUCAACCCUUAGAAUAAGAAACAUACAACAAGUUGAAGAUAUCUAUCUUAAUUUAGAAAGGUUUAGUACAUAUUUUACUUGAAAGAAUGAAUCUAAAAAUAUCCCACAGUAUACAACUGUUCAUAGAUAAGAGAUUGUUAAACAUACAUGAAAAUUUUGUGAGCUAAAUAUUAUUGUCCUUAUUUUAGUAUUGAUGACAUAUGUUCAUCUAACAUAAUGGUAGCAUUAAGCAGCAGAGGAAGGACUAUGACAUUUAAAGUCUGAUGUUGAGUUUAAUAAGAACUUGUCCACAGCUAAUACAAUUGCACAAAGAGAAAAUUGGCAAAGAGAAUAAAAGCCAACCAUGUGUAUAGAGUACUUAACCAUCUGAAGCCCAACCUGCUAAGAACAUUCAUUGUACGUCACUUUGCAUCUCUUGGGGAUCCAUAGCUCUUUACAGCACCACAGGCUAUUUCAACUGUAGAUUGUUUUCUUUACAAACUUGAAAUUUUCAUUCCAGAGUGAGCAACUCUUAGAUAGAAAAGUAAUGCUCCAGGAUGCAAGACAAAUGAAAAACUGGGGACGUAAGUAGAGGAAUACAAAGCCUGUAUCUUGGCGCAAUGUUGUCUUUAGAAGGUGCUAGGCAGAUACUAUUUACCAGUGUCACAGUGAGACACGGCCACAAAUAUGGUCUCAAUAUAGUCUUGUUUCCAUUCUUUAAGUAUAAAGCUAAACCUUUAAAAUACAUUGAUUUAUUGUCUCUUAUACUCCAGAAGUUAUGUUACAAAUAUUCAUGCUUGGUUCACAGGGCAAGGAGAAAGUAAAGUCUAUCAGAAGAAAGGAUUUUGGAAUUCCAUUCUUUCUGGUCAUGUCAAAAUAGAUCUAGUUUCUAGCUUCCAUUUGUUUGAGGAAUCACACUAAGAAAUUAGCUGUUUUCCCUAUGACUAACAAUGUGAGUCCAUCGGUUAAUGAAAAUGUCAAUGCCCUAAGCUUACGGAAAGGGGUCUUUCUGAUCAUGCACACUACAAGCUGUGUUGACUGGGUGUCAUCUCAGUAAUUGUAUCCAUAAUCAUAUUCACAUUUGCACAGAUUGUGCAGGGUGAGUUUUCUUAUUAAACUAUUGCUAGGUAAAUAAUGUUUGAAUUCCUUUAGUAUGUUUCAAAAGUAUUACUUUUAUAGGAAUUCCUUUCUAAUAAAGGCCUAAUUGUAACCAAUCAAUAAUGACUGAACAAUAAUUUAAGCAUAGAGUUGGGGCAACAAAGAGUGGCAAUUAAAGUGUUCAACCCUGAAAUAACUUACUGUGAACUUGUAUAAAAUAUUACAAUGAUAUAAAGCUAAGUAAAUAAUAUUAUAUGACAGUUCAGGUGAAUGGUUGGAAAUGUUCAGAACUUAGAAAAGGAACCAAGAGGGGAAAGAUUGUGAAGGGAGUUUUAUUGUUUAUAGACAGUGCAAUAUACUAAAACCAACAGUAUUUCUAUCCAUGAGAAUGAAUCUUGAAAUUCCAAAGAGGACUUGACCUCACAUAUUCCUCAUAUGCAUCAUUUCUUCACAGUGUGUGCCCUUCAACUGGAGCAUGGUCAAAUGAGUCUUGGCUACACUUUUGGGAAAACAUUAUUUCUUCUUCCCAAAGCUAACAAUAACUAAAAGUUCCUUAGCUGUGGGUGGGACUCAUGUCCAUCUUCCCUCUCCAAAUUGGGAAUAUCUUGAGCUUGCACAGGUCUCAUGGUUGCUGUCCUAAUUACUGUGAAUUCACAUGUGCACUUGCCCUGCUGUGUCCCAAAGACAUUGUUUCCAUGUAGCUCUUACACUCUUAAUACAACUUCUUCUGAAAUAAUACUUGAGCUGUGAGUGGAGGAAGCACAGUGCAUAUAUUUCAUUUAGAGUUUAGCACUCUUCAGUUUCUUACUAUUUGCAGUUACAGAUCUCUGUGUUAAUAACCUCUACAAAUAGAAGCUUCUCAGCUGAGGGUUAAGGUAGAAGCACAGGUCUAUCAUUAUAAUGAUAUAUCAUUAGGAAUUGGUUUGUCUCAGUUCUCAGCAUAGUAGUAAUAGGUUGUCUCCCAGGCCCCAUCAUCUUUCUAGCGUUAGACUCUUGGUCUGACAAUGUUACCAGGUCUGGGUUUCAUCUUGUGUAGUGUGCCGUAAACCUAAUCAGAAAGUGGUUUGUUACUCCCGGGCUGACUGUGCCACUAUUGGACAUGCCUUGCGUAUGCUUGCCAUGCCAGGAUAUGUCACGCCAGGGCAGUCAUUGGUGUAGCACACAGGAUACAUAACUGGGUUGGACUGAUUAUUCUUCUUCUUAUCUAAUAGAGGGAAUACCAUCUUCUAGAACCGUGAAAGCGAGAGAGAGUAGGAAUGAAGCUGCCAUGUGAGAACCUGUUUGGUUUAUUCAUAUUUUCUGUCUCAAGCCUAUGGUAUCUUCAGCAGCACAAGGUAACUACGAAGUUCUGAAAGGUAACUGUGCAAGAUAGUUUUAUGUCAACUUGACACACACUACAGUCAUCUGAGAGAAGGAGACCUUAAUUAAGAAAACGUCUCUAGAUCGGGCUGUAGACAGACAAACUUUUAGGGCAUUUUCUCACAUGGCAAUUGUUGAGGGUGAGUCUAACCCAUUGUCGGUGAGAAUGAGCAAAUGGUCCUGGAUUCUAUAAGAAAGCAGGAUGAGGACAGGAGGCAGGAGUGGGUGUGAGCAGAGGAGCACCUUCAUAGAAGCAGAGGGAGGACGGAUGGGAUAGGGGAUUGCUGGAGGGGAAACCGGGAAAGGGGAUAACAUUUGAAAUGUAAAUAAAUAAAAUAUCCAAAAAAAAAAGCAGGACGAACAAGCCAUGCAGAGCUAGAGGGCAAGAAGGACUCCCCUAUGGCCUCAGCAUCAGCUCCUGCCUCCAGAUUCCUGCUUUGGCUUCACCCGGUGGACUGUGAUUUGGUAUGUGUGAGUCAAGUCAAUUCUCUCCUUUCCAGGUUGCUUUGGUCACAGUGUUUAAUCACAUCAAUAAAAACCCUAAGUAUGACAGUAGU